rnacentral:lncRNA from 1 species
GGAUGAGUGACAGGUGUCAUGAGAGUACAGCAGAAGGGAUGAGUCACUCCUUCCUAGAGGCUGAGAAAGUCUUUCCAUAGCCAGUUACAUGGUGGCUGUUCUUAGAGGAUGAGUGGGAAAUCUGCCCAGUGGAGCAGUGAGAAAGGCAUUCUAGGAGGAAGGGACAGCAGGACAGAGGCACAGUAAACUAAAAGCAUUUUAGGAGAUGCAAGAAGCUCCAUGUGGUAAGAGGUGAAAAGGCAGGGCAGGAUUUUAAAGAGCUUUGUAGUCUCUUCCCAAGAGCUGGGCUCUCAUCCCUGAGUCAGGUGUUGUUAAUAGUGGGGGGCAGGUAAGGGAGUGGAGGAAGGUGGCAACAGCUUGGGGUUUCAGAAAAACUUUUCGAGAGCCAGCAGGGAAGGAUUUGAUGGAAGGAAGGUGGUGCCAGGAAAACAGGAUCAAAGCCUGAAAUCCCAGAUUAGGCAGAUCCUGGGCCCAACUAACAACUCAGCUCUGACACCCAAAUGCUUCUCUAGAGGGCUAGGUAAAUUUAAAGGUCCAGUGUGAAAAGAAGAAUAGUUUUGCCCAGCACUCAGAGAGAAUUUGAGGUAGAAGUUUGUAUGCCUACUUAUAAAAUGAAUCAAUGCCUCAGGGCCUUCCCCAUAGCAUCAGAAUUAGUCCUUGACACCUAGACAUUCUUCCUCUGUUUUUGCUUCUCAUGUUGCCUGAAGGCUCUUCUUUUUUUGACUUGCAUAAUUCCCUCAUCUAGCUGGGGGGCCUCCUAUAAACUCUGCCACACUGCUAAUAUUUCAUUGUCAUUUUCAGCUCUAUUACGUCUUCCUCUCAAUCAUUCUUUAGAAUAGGAGAUGUCAUCUAGAGGGGUUCUGCAGCUUGCAUAAAUGAAUUAUGAAUCCUCAUGAUUUCAAGUGGGUUACUGAGCCCCUUCCAAGCAGAACCAGGCAUCUGGUGACUCCAAAGUGUGAAAAGGACAUUAUGCAUAUGUAUGCAGAAACACAUGCCCUACAGCGUUUCUGAAGUACUUGCACGUUUUUUACUCACAUGGGCGCCAUAUGCAAGGGGACCUGAAAACCAAUGUUCUUUGAAAGGAAAGUGCUUUCACAUAUCCUUUCUCUUCCCUCUUCUCCUUAGAAUUCUUCACUUCUUUUUCUGAACCCAAUAAAGGAGGAAGGAAAAGGUUUUCCUGAGUGUUCUCAUCCUGUGUUACAUACAGUUUUGCACAUAUGUAGGCAGGUAACCAUCAGUAUCUACAAGAGAAAAGCAACAUACCUCAGUCUACAAGAACAUAGUAAGGGAAGCAAAAGCAGUUUCUCUGACAUAGAUUUUUGCCUGAACUUCCUGCAUUGUGGAGGGUAAUACUAAAGAAUUUCGACCACAAAUUUCCAAUAAUUUGAAUUUUCUGUAUUUUAAAGUGUGAUUAAAGUGCAUUGCAAAGGCCACAGAAUGUUCAAGAAAGGCAGGGUGUGGCAGCCUAGUGAGUCUGGAGGCUCAGGAAAUGAGGAUAUCUCUGGAAAUUAGAUUGUCAUGUUUUGUUUCAGAUUCUGGGCUUUGACUUAAACAUUGAUUUGAAUCCUAGCUCUGGUGUUAACUUGCUGCAUAACCUUAGGCAAGUCAUUGUACCCUCUCGAAUCCUUUAGAUUCUUCCUUUGUCUGAAGAUGAUAAUAUCUACUUCAUAGAAUGGUUAUAAAGAUUAAGUGAGCAGAUUGAUAUAAUCUUUGCAGUGGUGUGUGGCACCUGGCAGGCCCUCAAUAAGUACAACUUUUGUUGUUUUUAUGUUGUUACACGUUAUCUUAAUUUAGUAAUUACACAUUACUUAGCUUCAACUUCCUUAUUUCUAAAAUUGGAAUGAUAAUCACUGUCCUAUUCAUUUUAUCUAGUUUUUUUAGUGGAAAUUAAGUAACAGUGUAUGUAAAGAUACUUUGUAAAGUGAAAAAUUCUAAAUAUCCAGGAAGCGUGGUUAUUGUCAUUAUUUUAGAGGUACUUAGGCUGUCAUGGUUGCAAGAAUAUUUGGGGAAAGUCCACCUGAAGUAGAUACAGGAUGCUACCGAUCCACAUAAGAACAGCUGCAAUCACCCAGUGAGUUCAAUUCCUGCGCAUCUUUUGGUGUGAAAAACUGCCCAAUACCUUGUAUGUGUAGAAGAUAGAGAGUAUUUGGAAAUAAAGAUUGGGAGAGUCUCACUUCUCUUCAAGAGUGAUGCAUAUAAGGUGGAAACUUACAGUGUUUUUUUUAAAAAUAUUUUAUAUCUACUGAGCUGUUACCAUUCCUAGAGCUUAAAGAUUGUACAUGAUUGCCAAAGCUCCUCUGAUUGAUAAGCAACCAGCAGCUCAGAUACUUGCAGAUUCUGCCGGUCUCCAUGGCUUUCCUUCCCGCAAAGAUGGUACUCUCAGGCCUUUCUUCAUCCUCACUGUCCCUUUGUGGGGGAUCUCAGAAGUAGGCAGUAGAUCAGGCCCUUGACCAAGCUGUCAGGGACUUGCUGUUUAUCAUUAGGGCUGCCUGAAUUACCUUCCUUAGUAAAUUUCAAUUUCUCAUCUCCCUAUCUGGAAGUAGAGAGGGUAAGGGGGACAAGAACUGCCUUUGGGAUGGUUGGGCCUGUGUCCACAGAGCCGAGUUUGAAUGCACCUCUACCAACUACUUCUUACAGCUUGUUUGAGAAGUAAAAAAAGUAUCUGGUUGUUUAAACCAGAUAACUGGUUUAAGUUAUCCAUUUCCUCUGAGACUUGCUUAUUGCAUCUGUAAAUGGGGAUAAUAAUAUAUCUACCAAGCCAAAUAUUUCUGAGAAUUAGAUGAAAUAAUGUUUUUAAAAUAGCUUACACUGGAGUUCCCGUUGUGGCUCAGUGGUUAAUGAAUCCAACUAGGAACCAUUGUGGGUUCAAUCCCUGGCCUUGCUCAGUGGGUUAAGGAUCCGGCAUUGCUAUGAGCUGUGGUGUAGCUUGCAGAUGCGGCUCAAAUCUGGCGUUGCUGUGGCUGUGGUGUAGGCCGGCGGCUACAGCUCUGAUUAGACCCCUAGCCUGGGAACUUCCAUAUGCCAUGGGAGCGGCCCUACAAAAGACAAAAAUAAAUAAAUAAAUAAAGACAAAAAAGUUAAUAAGUAAAAUAGCUUACAGGAGUUCCUGUCAUGGCACAGCAGAAAUGAAUCCAACUAGGAACCAGGAGUUUGUGGGUUCGAUCCCUGGCCUUGCUCAGUGGGGUAAGGAUCCAGCGUUGCCAUGAGCUGCGGUGUAGGACAAAGAUGCAGCUCGGAUCUGAUGUUACUGUGGCUGUGGCAUAGGUUGCCAGCUGUAGCUCUGAUUUGACCCCUAGCCUGGGAAUCUCCAU